GGAGAAUCAGGGUUCGACUCCGGAGAGCGGGCCUGCGAGACGGCACGCACAUCCAAGGACGGCAGCAGGCGCGGAACUUGCCCAAUGCGCGGCCCGCGAGGCAGCGACGGGGAGCGCGCGAGCGACGCGGGCCCACAGCCCCCGCCGCGGAGCCGAGGGCAAGGUAUGGUGCCAGCAGCCGCGGUAAUUCCAGCUCGGCGAGCGUCGCGUGGCGCUGCUGCAGUUGAAACGCCCGUAGUUGGCCCCCCGCCGCCACGAGGAAACGGGAGCGCUCCAGGCAGGCCCGUUGGACCCGCCGCGUGGGACCGCGCAGCGGGCGCGGCGCGACGCGGCAGCCCCGAGGAGAG
rnacentral:rRNA from 1 species